rnacentral:rRNA from 1 species
AAUCAACGCUGGCGGCGUGCCUAGCACAUGCAAGUCGAGCGAGAAAGGGGCUUCGGCCCUGAGUAAAGCGGCGCACGGGUGAGUAACACGUGGGUAAUCUGCCCUAGAGUGGGGAAUAACAUCGGGAAACCGAUGCUAAUACCUCAUACGAUCACGAGGUCUUCGGAUUUUGUGAUGAAAGGAGCAAUCCGCCCUUGGAGGAGCCCGCGGCUGAUUAGCUAGNGGUAAGGUAAUGGCUUACCAAGGCUACGAUCAGUAUCCGGUCUGAGAGGACGGUCGGACACACUGGAACUGAGACACGGUCCAGGACUCCUACGGGAGCAGCAGUGGGAAUUUUGGCAAUGGGGAACCCGUACGACCAAGCAACGCCGCGUGGAUGAUGAAGU